AUUGAACGCUGGCGGCAUGCCUUACACAUGCAAGUCGAACGGUAACAGGUCUUCGGAUGCUGACGAGUGGCGAACGGGUGAGUAAUACAUCGGAACGUGCCCGAUCGUGGGGGAUAACGGAGCGAAAGCUUUGCUAAUACCGCAUACGAUCUACGGAUGAAAGCAGGGGACCGCAAGGCCUUGCGCGGACGGAGCGGCCGAUGGCAGAUUAGGUAGUUGGGGGGAUAAAAGCUUACCAAGCCGACGAUCUGUAGCUGGUCUGAGAGGACGACCAGCCACACGGGGACUGAGACACGGCCCAGACUCCUACGGGAGGCAGCAGUGGGGAAUUUUGGACAAUGGGCGCAAGCCUGAUCCAGCCAUGCCGCGUGCGGGAUGAAGGCCUUCGGGUUGUAAACUGCUUUUGUACGGAACGAAAAGACUCUUUCUAAUAAAGAGGGUCCAUGACGGUACCGUAAGAAUAAGCACCGGCUAACUACGUGCCAGCAGCCGCGGUAAGAC
rnacentral:rRNA from 1 species